AGGAUAGGUGGGAGGCUUUGAAGUGUGGACGCCAGUCUGCAUGGAGCCGACCUUGAAAUACCACCCUUUAAUGUUUGAUGUUCUAACGUUGACCCGUGAUCCGGGUUGCGGACAGUGUCUGGUGGGUAGUUUGACUGGGGCGGUCUCCUCCUAAAGAGUAACGGAGGAGCACGAAGGUUGGCUAAUCCUGGUCGGACAUCAGGAGGUUAGUGCAAUGGCAUAAGCCAGCUUGACUGCGAGCGUGACGGCGCGAGCAGGUGCGAAAGCAGGUCAUAGUGAUCCGGUGGUUCUGAAUGGAAGGGCCAUCGCUCAACGGAUAAAAGGUACUCCGGGGAUAACAGGCUGAUACCGCCCAAGAGUUCAUAUCGACGGCGGUGUUUGGCACCUCGAUGUCGGCUCAUCACAUCCUGGGGCUGAAGUAGGUCCCAAGGGUAUGGCUGUUCGCCAUUUAAAGUGGUACGCGAGCUGGGUUUAGAACGUCGUGAGACAGUUCGGUCCCUAUCUGCCGUGGGCGCUGGAGAACUG
rnacentral:rRNA from 1 species